UUAAGAGAAUUAGUUUUUUAUUUUGAAUUAAAAAAGUUAAAUUAUUCAUGACGGUCUCGGAUUUAUUCUCAACGGCACAACUGCAAUAGUUGGUGCCGUGACCUAAAAAAAGAAAGGAUUGAGUGGAACUCCAUUACUUGGAGCGGGAGCUAGCUCCUUUUGAAAAGGUAGGAGCGGGAGUUAGCUAUUUUUAAAAAGGAGCCUUAACAACUCUGAAAUGAAAGCCGUACAGUUGCAAUUUGUUGCACAAUCCCCAAAACGCAGGAAGCUAAAUUUUAUA